GGGCAGGGCUAGGCAGGAAGAGGAUGAAACAGGAUCUGUUGGGAGCUGCUGAAGCUGGAAACUGACCACACACGAAGGGCUGCAACCCAGGCCUGGUCCUCCCGAGAACAAAGAGUGGUGGGGAAGGUCACGUGAAGAGGUUGCUUCAGCCCAGGAGAGCAGCAAGCCCUAGACAAGCCAAGCAGUGGUGCGCUGGGCAGCGGGGUUGGAAGGGACAUCCUCCUCCUGGGUACGCAAAUACACAGAGCUACAGUGCUGAGCGUUCCUUCUGUCCCGUCUGGAGGCUAUAAAGAUCAUUAGGGCAGCCUCACCAGGGGAUGUGCUUCUGAAGGCUGAUGAGGACGCACUGGUGGUCUCCCUUCCUGCAGAAAGCACAAGUGCUCCCUUCACCUCACAUGCUGUGCGCACAGGGUCCCCAGAAGCAGCUGCCUGGUGAACCUCGAACCUCGCUUCUCGACUAGCCCAGCUCGGCUGCUCUAGGUGUAUUUUGUUCCAGCAAUGAGAGAAAAGUAACCAAGACAACUGAUUAUGAAAAAGCCAAGUCUCCACCCUCCUGUGGAGCUGCUGCUGGAGCAGCUGCUGUGGUUUCUCCCAGGGAGAGAUGGAGCUGCCCUCUCCCAGCCUCAGCUGCCAAGUCACAGAGCGUGCAUCGGAGCAGGGACAUGUGGGGCCAUCUCUGAUGGCCGUGUUCCGUGUUCCAGGACUUCUUCACACCCUGCAUCCCAGCAAGCAAGGUUUGGACCAGCUGA